UACACUGCAUUCCUGGCCAGUCGCAUUUGUUUUAAUGCAGGCAUGGCCACAGCUCUCCUAGAGAAUUAUCUCAAAGACCAGAAGGGACCUGGAGAGGCCUAUUUCUUAGGUUUUUCCAGUUGGACAAGGAAGGAGUGGUUUCACUCAGCUUCUAGAAGGAGUUGGAGCCUAAGUUUAUCUGCCUCCGGGAGCUGCUUGCUUUGUUUUGGCUCCGAAGAGGUAUCAGAUAGUUUUGACACCUCAGGAAACUUGAACCAAGCUGUGAAACCAAGACCUCCCUGCGUGAAAAUCAAGGUGGUCUCCUUGUGGCUUCACCAGGAUGUUUGUGUCAGGCUGUCUCAGCAGGGUGGGGAAUGACCAGCCAGGGAGCACAGUGAGCCUUACUCAGCACUGGGGAGCGCACUGGUGAGGCAAACCCAUGAACCUCAAGAACUGGGAGUAUGUUCCUUCAGGGAGAAGUUCUGGCCCAUUGCACAAACACUUGGAAAUUAACUUUUCCCUAAAUUCAAGAUAGUGUGGUGUCGGAAGGAAAUGGGACAGUAAAUUAGGAGACGCGGGCUCCACCUUUACCUUACUACGUGGCCUUUGAUGAGCUGGCUUAACAUCCCUGAGUGAUUCCAUGAUAGAGAUCUAUACUCCAAACUUUAUUCCUGGUAUCUAGUUGGCUUCACUGCCACAGACACUGUACUCUCUCUUUUUAGAAGUUUUUUUCCUUUUUUUUCCCCCUCAAUUGGCUUAUUUAGUAAAUUUAGGUCUGAAUGAAUUGGUACCUAAAAGCUUCCAAAUCUAUACAUUUCAGAAUAUGGGAAUUUUCUUCCUCUUCUUCCCCCAUAUCCCAACAUGGAAUUCUGGAAAACUGUGCCUCUUCCCCUGUUCUGCCUUCAUGGGGGAGAGACUGGAUGAAAUCUACAAAAACAGCCAAAAGUGCCACCCUGGCUUCAUGUCUUGAAUUUCUAACUUGCUCUUGGCAAAGGUCGCUUUAUUUUUUAAUUUUUUUCCUUGCAUUUUCUUUUUUAUUCUAUUGCUGCUGCAAAAAUUAAGGCAAAAGUAGCUUUCGAUCUUUCAUAUUUCAUCCUGGUUUCACAAGGAGUCACUUAUCUUAGGAGGUCUGUAAGUCAGGUUACAAGGCCGGGAGCGGUGGCUCACACCUGUAAUCCCAACACUUUGAGCGGCUGAGGUGGGUGUAUCACCUGAAGUCCGGAGUUUGAGACCAGCCUGGCCAACAUGGUGAAACCCCGUCUCUACUAAAAAUACAAAAAAUUGGCUGGGCAUGGUGGUGGGUGCCUGUAAUCCCAGCUACUUGGGAAGCUGAAGCAGGAGAAUCACUUAAACCCAGGUGGCGGAGGUUGCAGUGAGCCGACAUCGCGCCAUUGCACUCCAGCCUGGGUGACGAGUGAAACUCCAUCUCAAAAAUAAAAAUUGAAAAAUCAGGUUACAAAACACCAUUUUUCCCGAAAUAAGACAAUAAGAGGCUUUUCUCUGAAUUCCUUUAUAUUGAGCCUUUCAGAAUUCUCCCUGGGUGGGCAAUUUCUUUAAAUAGUAUUUGACCCUCAGAUCAAUCCUGGGAAUUUUUUUCAUUUGGGUAGCAAAAGCUAGAGUAUUGCUGUGGCGAUUAUAAUACUUUUAAAAAGUUUUACCAUUUUAAAGUUGCCAACAUUUAAUUAAGGUUUUCCUUUGAAGCCUCCUUUAAUUUAGGGAGUAAAAUGUUAGCUAAACCAAUUAUAUACUAUAUACUAUACACUGUAUCUCCUGUGGCCAUGAGAGGUGUGGCUAUACCGAACAGAAACAUGCCUACUGUUCAGGAAAGAUGUCAGUUCUGGUAACACCUCUCUGUAUUGGGAUCUGUUAAUUUUGUAAAUCUAAAUUCUUCUGCUCUUGGCCAGGUGCAGUAGUUCAUGCCCUGUAAUCCUAGAACUUUGGGAGGCUGAAGGGGGGGCGGAUCAUUUGAGGUCAGGAGUUUGAGACCAGCCUGGCCAACAUGGUGAAACCCCAUCUCUACUAAAAAGUACAAAAAUUAGCUGGGUGUGGUGGUGCGUGCCUGUAAUCCCAACUACUUGGGAGGCUGAGGCAGGAGAAUCGCUUGAACCUGGGAGGCAGCGGUUGCAGUAAGCCAAGACUAUGCCACUGCACUCCCGCCUGGGUGACAAAGCAAUAUUCUGUGUCAAAUAAAUAAAUUCAUUCUUCUGCUCUCCUGACUUAGAGAAAUGGUUUGCUUAAAAUGCUAGUAACAAACAUCACAGUCAACAGGAGCUUGCUUCAUGCGAAGGAUCAAUGUGAUUUGUGGAUGGAGAUGAUAGUGAUGAAAUUCCUGUUUCAUGGGGCUGUUUUUCUUUUCAUCUCACUGGGCAGCAGGUUUAGUGAGGCAGUGAGAUGCUGCUGCUGUGGAUUCUUGUAGCUAUGCCUCGGCUUCUUGGCAUAUCAGGUAGGAACCUGUUACAAGUGAAAUACUUGAAACCUCUCUGACCAAGAGCCUCUGAUGGAGUGGGAGGUGAGCUAAUUCUCUGACCAGCUUGGGGCACUGUUUCAGCCACUGGUCACAUUCCUUGCUUCAAACUGAAAUUCAGUUUGGCUUUGAGUAUAGGGAUACAUGGUGGAUUCAUGUACUUCAGUGUUUGUUUUGACCAAAGUUUAUUUUUCUAGUGCAUUUUCUAAGUCAAAGUGGUGAAAAUAUGUAAUAAUUUUAGUAUGCAUGACUCAGUCUGAAACAAUAAAAAUCUCUGAAAAAUGUG
rnacentral:lncRNA from 1 species